UGCAAUAAGAAGAUAAAUACUUCAAUAACACACACUUGUUCCCCCAACGCAAAGCUGGAGAGCGGAAAGAAAAAUAUAUUGAGAGGGGAAAAUGUUUAUUGUAAAAGGUGAUCUCAAAUCUUCUCUGCUAAACCAUACAUCUUUCCAGGAAUCUGAAAGAAGACGCAAGGCAGAGAAAGUCGUGACCAAAAAUCUUUGACGGAUCUGAAAUGUAAAUUAAAAAGUGGGAGAGAAUCGAUACUAGUCGAAGAAAAAAUAAAGAACCAGAAGAUAGUUUUCAUUUAGCAGCGCCAUACAAGAUUCCGGGUCACGUGCCUUUAAUCAUCGUCGCCAUUGAAAAGCCAUUUGGAGUCAUCGGUAUAUGGUCGCGGACAUGAUAAAACGAAUUUAGGUCAGUUGUACGUUUCAUUGACCAACGCAUGAUUCGAAUAACACAACUUUCCAAUACAUUUCUAAAAGAAAUUAACAGUAAAGUUUUCCAGGAAAUUAUUAGUGGAGUUUGACGUGCGGCUGCUUGUUUUGUCUUGAUGCAGUUCUACUGGAUCGAUGCCACUGUGGGUCAAGAAAAGAAUGUCCUCCCCUACGGUCUAUAAGAUUCAACAGCGGAAGUGCAUGCUUCAUCUGACCAUAGACUUCCUCAAGAGACACGGACAUUGGCAGUACAUAAACUCCAUCUUUAAGAAACCUCCAAAGAAAGAAAUCGCAUGGUGUUAAAUUGUGAAAAAGGGGUGGCCAUCGGAGAAGGUUGUGGUCUGCUGUGGCAGCAUGUCCAAUUCAGUGUUGCUGAAGAACACGAUUAAGAAGCUUUCGUUCUGCCCCCAUCUUGGAAAUUGAUGCUGCAGCUGUGCAGUAAGCAAAACAAGCAACGUGCUGGUAGCACAUGAGAAACUUGGACAGUUGCGAAUGCUUACCUCGACGUUUUACACUGGAAACAAUAUGCAGAAUAUAUCCAGAAGUACUUAUGAAAUUAAUUCUGAAUAAAUAUAUGCGAAAUAUUGAAAAGCAGUCCUCAAAUCUUCCACAUAAGAUGUCUCGUACACUCACGUUUUUGGCUGAAAAUCUCUGAAGCGGAAGAGAUGCUUAAAGUCGUUUCCCUUUAUCCUUGGUUUUAAUGUCAUAAACUGUCAUAAAUCGUUGCAUUUCAUACGCCGACGGCUUGAAUUGUUGUGACAGAUAUAUCUGCGUAACUGCAAAAAGCCAAAUAUGAUUCAAUUUUUUUUAAAGUCAGUUUUUUCUUCAUGUCUGGUUUUUCUGAAUUCGGACAUUGCAUAAAUUAUUUGUUAUCAUAAUCAAAUAGAAGAACAUGUAAGUCCCUUCUGUCUGUAAGGUUUUAAGUCAUGGUAAAUGUAAUUCAAGUCUUUAUGAAAUUCGUUCUUGUCAAAAUAAGGAAUUUAAAUGUAUACAUCAGCAGAUACCGUCGUUUAUGUAGAUAAGUUUUAAUCCAGUAAUAGAA